AGCGAACGCUGGCGGCAGGCCUAACACAUGCAAGUCGAACGAACCUUUCGGGGUUAGUGGUGGACGGGUGAGUAACACGUGGGAACGUGCCUUUAGGUUCGGAAUAACUCAGGGAAACUUGUGCUAAUACCGAAUGUGCCCUUCGGGGGAAAGAUUAAUCGCCUUUAGAGCGGCCCGCGUCUGAUUAGCUAGUUGGUUGAGGUAAUGGCUCACCAAGGCGACGAUCAGUAGCUGGUCUGAGAGGAUGAUCAGCCACAUUGGGACUGAGACACGGCCCAAACUCCUACGGGAGGCAGCAGUGGGGAAUCUUGCGCAAUGGGCGAAAGCCUGACGCAGCCAUGCCGCGUGAAUGAUGAAGGUCUUAGGAUUGUAAAAUUCUUUCACCGGGGACGAUAAUGACGGUACCCGGAGAAGAAGCCCCGGCUAACUUCGUG
rnacentral:rRNA from 1 species